GACGGAGGAUGCAAGUGUUAUCCGGAAUCACUGGGCGUAAAGCGUCUGUAGGUGGUUUAAUAAGUCAACUGUUAAAUCUUGAGGCUCAACCUCAAAAUCGCAGUCGAAACUAUUAGGCUAGAGUAUAGUAGGGGUAAAGGGAAUUUCCAGUGGAGCGGUGAAAUGCGUAGAGAUUGGAAAGAACACCGAUGGCGAAGGCACUUUACUGGGCUAUUACUAACACUCAGAGACGAAAGUUAGGGUAGCAAAUGGG
rnacentral:rRNA from 1 species